AAAAAAAAUGAAAAACUGUUUUAUUGUUCGGCGCUGUUUUUCGCGAAACGAAAAUAAUUAUAAUAACAAUGCGAAUUUCGUGUAUUUAAAACGUCUUAAACGGUAUUCCCCGGUGAAAAUUUGUCGUAGUUUUUUGCAGACCAUUUUUUCUUUGCCGAACUUGUUAAUCGCAUCUAUAAAUAACGUAAUAAUAACUAUAUUUUUCGCAAGAAUUAAAAUUUAUUAUGGUGUGUUUUUUGUUUAUUUGUG